rnacentral:rRNA from 1 species
AUUGAACGCUGGCGGCAUGCCUUACACAUGCAAGUCGAACGGUAACAGGUCUUCGGAUGCCGACGAGUGGCGAACGGGUGAGUAAUACAUCGGAACGUGCCUAGUAGUGGGGGAUAACUACUCGAAAGAGUGGCUAAUACCGCAUGAGAUCUACGGAUGAAAGCAGGGGAUCGCAAGACCUUGUGCUACUAGAGCGGCCGAUGGCAGAUUAGGUAGAUGGUGGGAUAAAAGCUUACCAAGCCGACGAUCUGUAGCUGGUCUAAGAGGACGAUCAGCCGCACUGGGACUGAGGCACGGCCCAUAAUCCUACGGGAGGCAGCAGUGGGGAAUAUUGGCGAAUGGGCGAAAGCCUGAUCCAGCAAUGCCGCGUGCAGGAUGAAGGCCUUCGGGUUGUGAACUGCUUUUGCACGGAACGAAAAGCCCUGGGUUAAUACCCUGGGGUCAUGACGGUACCGUAAGAAUAAGCACCGGCUAACUACGUGCCAGCCGCCGCAGUAA